rnacentral:tRNA from 1 species
GGCUGAAUAGCUCAGUGUAAGAGUAGUCGCCCGGAAAGCGAAAGACUCGGGUUCGACUCUCGAUUCAGCGA